UGGGGAAUAUUGCACAAUGGGCGCAAGCCUGAUGCAGCCAUGCCGCGUGUGUGAAGAAGGCCUUCGGGUUGUAAAGCACUUUCAGCGGGGAGGAAGGCGAUAAGGUUAAUAACCUUGUCGAUUGACGUUACCCGCAGAAGAAGCGCCGGCUAACUCCGUGCCAGCAGCCGCGGUAAUACGGAGGGUGCAAGCGUUAAUCGGAAUUACUGGGCGUAAAGCGCACGCAGGCGGUCUGUCAAGUCGGAUGUGAAAUCCCCGGGCUCAACCUGGGAACUGCAUUCGAAACUGGCAGGCUAGAGUCUUGUAGAGUGGGGUAGAAUUCCAGGUGUAGCGGUGAAAUGCGUAGAGAUCUGGAGGAAUACCGGUGGCGAAGGCGGCCCCCUGGACAAAGACUGACGCUCAGGUGCGAAAGCGUGGGGAGCAAACAGG
rnacentral:rRNA from 1 species